AUUUGUUGUGACCUGUUGACCUUAAGAUGAGAGGAGCAGUGGAAAGGCGAGAAUAACACGCACACAUAAAAAAAGGCAAGAGUCAUGACACCCAGUUCAGAGUACCAUUACUGUACAGAAAGAAAUGUAAGGAGAUAUUGGUUGGCUUUGAAUGGGGUGUAAAAUGCACCAGUAUUUCUCUUCAAAUUUGCUCCUGUGGGAAAUGCUUUUCAGCAUUUGAAUCAUUUUAAUGGUUGAGGUUGGAAAGGACCUCAAGAGAUCACCUGAUCCAACUCCCUGCUCAAGCAGAAAUGCGUACAGCUGAUUCCUUCGGACCAUGCCCAGGUAGGUGGUUUUUGAAGCUCUCCAAGGUGGGAGACACCUGAGACUCUCUGGGCAACCUGUGCCAGUGUUCAGUCGCC
rnacentral:lncRNA from 1 species